UACGAAGGGGGCUAGCGUUGCUCGGAAUCACUGGGCGUAAAGGGCGCGUAGGCGGCGCGGGCAGUCAACGGUGAAAGCUUGGGGCUCAACCCCGAGUCGGCCGUCGAUACUCCCGGGCUGGAGCACUGUAGAGGCAGGUGGAAUUCCGGGUGUAGCGGUGGAAUGCGUAGAGAUCCGGAAGAACACCGGUGGCGAAGGCGGCUUGCUGGGCGUGAUCUGACGCUGAGGCGCGAAAGCGUGGGGAGCAAACAGG
rnacentral:rRNA from 1 species